AAAUUGAAGAGUUUGAUCAUGGCUCAGAUUGAACGCUGGCGGCAGGCCUAACACAUGCAAGUCGAACGGUAACAGAAAGCAGCUUGCUGCUUUGCUGACGAGUGGCGGACGGGUGAGUAAUGUCUGGGAAACUGCCUGAUGGAGGGGGAUAACUACUGGAAACGGUAGCUAAUACCGCAUAACGUCGCAAGACCAAAGAGGGGGACCUUAGGGCCUCUUGCCAUCGGAUGUGCCCAGAUGGGAUUAGCUAGUAGGUGGGGUAACGGCUCACCUAGGCGACGAUCCCUAGCUGGUCUGAGAGGAUGACCAGCCACACUGGAACUGAGACACGGUCCAGACUCCUACGGGAGGCAGCAGUGGGGAAUAUUGCACAAUGGGCGCAAGCCUGAUGCAGCCAUGCCGCGUGUAUGAAGAAGGCCUUCGGGUUGUAAAGUACUUUCAGCGGGGAGGAAGGGAGUAAAGUUAAUACCUUUGCUCAUUGACGUUACCCGCAGAAGAAGCACCGGCUAACUCCGUGCCAGCAGCCGCGGUAAUACGGAGGGUGCAAGCGUUAAUCGGAAUUACUGGGCGUAAAGCGCACGCAGGCGGUUUGU
rnacentral:rRNA from 1 species